UACGGGGGGGCAAGCGUUGUUCGGAAUUACUGGGCGUAAAGGCUCGUAGGCGGCCAACUAAGUCGGACGUGAAAUCCCUCGGCUUAACCGGGGAACUGCGUCCGAUACUGGAUGGCUUGAGUUCGGGAGAGGGAUGCGGAAUUCCAGGUGUAGCGGUGAAAUGCGUAGAUAUCUGGAGGAACACCGGUGGCGAAGGCGGCAUCCUGGACCGACACUGACGCUGAGGAGCGAAAGCCAGGGGAGCAA
rnacentral:rRNA from 1 species